AAGAUUUUGUGCCUUAGCGACUUUGGGGCUUCUUUGUGGACGGCUUGGGCCUGCUGUACAGGAUGAAGCUGUACUUGUGGGAGCAUCGCUGCUGCAGGUACAGAUGUUCACACAAACACUCAUUUAGUCGAGUCUCUGGGAGCUGCUUUGGUCUCCAGCCGUCACCCUGGACUGGUCGCCACGUAGAGACAAAGAUGACACAAAAGCAGUCACACAUUCACUCACACCACAGCAAAUCCCAUCACUGCUGAAGCUGAACGUGCACGGAUGCAGUGGGAUCCACUCAUUCUCUGUCUCUUGUGUCUCAGAUUGUCCACGGUGAGCGACCGCUGGUGGAGCAGCCGGCGCCGCUCACGUUUGGUGAGACUAAAACACGUUCAGCUAAUAAAUUUUUUUUUGCUCAUCCUCCAGCAACUCUGAACCCAUGACCUGAAGGCAGCUGAGUGAUCUCAUGUUCAUGAUGUUCUUGACUCUGGAUCUUUUCCUGAAGCCCGAGGCUCUGACUACAGCCCUGAACACAUGCGUGUUCGUCGGGACGUACUCAUCGGAGUUGGUGGUGGAUCUCCUCCUGUACAGGGUACUUCACUGAUUGGGGCAAUCUCCAGGACUUCGCCAUCAUCAUCAUCAUCGGCAUUGUGGAAAUGGUGUGGCAAACAGAGACCAGACUCUACGUCCUCCGCAUCACUCAGAUCAGCAUGCUGUACUUCUCGCCUGAGCCGAAGAGGCAGUUCGAGAUCCUGAAGCGAUCCAUCAAGCAGUCGCUGCAUCUCUUCAGCAUGUGGGGCAUGACGUUGUUCAGCCGUGAGAGCUUUCCACCGCCGGAGGUCAAGGGACUCUUUCAUCCCCAGGCCAGCUUUGACUCGCUGUGGUGGUCCAUGCUAACCGUCUUUCAGAUCAUCACCGGGGACGGCUGGAAUCUAAUAAUGUACAGUGCGAUGCUCUACCACUCCCCAUACAUCGCACUGUCAUAAUCGUUGGGAAAGACCUCCUAAGCUUCCUGGUGUGCAUGGUCGUGGUAGGCUUUGACCGUACGACAUCACCUCUAGAAACCGACUCCUCCAGGUCAGUGUCCCAAUCGGACCCUUAGUCGGCCUCUUCAGGGCCACCAACCAGCUCGCUGUCUGGACCUACACCCGAGUCCAGCGGAAGUAGCAGCAGCUAGCCCAGCGAGUUGAGGGUCAACAGAAGCCCAAGCAAUGCACGGAGAUGCUCCAGCCAGAGGAGUAGCGCCGGGUUCCAGAGCAGCUCAGAGGUUUAAUGGAGUGCUGGGACCGUUUAGCUCAUUUUCAAGUUUUAAUUUUCAGGUUAACAAAAUUUUAAUGUUUUAAUUUUGGUUAUGAAGCAAAACUGUGCUUUAGUGCUUUUGCUCUUGGUGUCAAACUAAAAACUGUUUUUGUUUUUGACAAAGUUGUUGUGUUGUUUAGCAACAGUUUGGUAUUUCUGGUUUUGUUUACCCAAAAACAGCAAAUGUGAAGUCAAAGUAAACAUGAGCUUUUGUUUACGUGGAACUAAGACCAAAGUGCAUUUGUAAUUUUCUGUCUUUAUUUUAAUGAAACAUGAUAUUUUUUUUAAUGGCUGACAGGUAAAUAUCAUCACUUAAAUGAUAGAAUUGUCAAAUAAUUUAAAACCAAGAUAAAAAGACAAGCUACACGAUUCAUUAUCUUGGAUGUAUUUGAACAACCAUUCCUUUUUCUUCACUUGUUUAGUUUUGUGUCGAGUUAAAAAACAGAGUUAAAUGAUGCAAGUUUGUGAUUUUGUUCAAAAGGAAAGUCAUAAUUUCAGAGAUUUAAUUAAAGGUUUGUAAGUGGCUCAAACAUCAGGGUGUAAGCAUCCUCCAGUCCAGAGGCUUGGAGUUAUGCACCGUGUUUCAACAAGGCUGCAGCGUCACCACGGAAGAUGAAGAGUCGUGUUUUUGGCCAGAAUCAUGCAGAGAGGACUGGCUGAUCCCUUUAGGGCCCCUGAAGAAAAAGCUGCAGACACACUCGGAUCUCCCAGCCUGUGGUCCUUCCAGCAGCAGAGGCAUCUACUUCAGCUUGUCUUCUCAGCAGAGUGAAGAUCUGAAGUUUAAAAAUUUUGCCAUAAAAUGCGGAGACAUUGAAUUAUGACUUAAUAACUUUAUUAUGUUUAAGUGAUGAGUAAUUAAGACACGUAAAAACAGUAUUUUAAGCUUUAAAAUACAUAAUAGGUGCUACUUGGUGUGCCCUCUGGUGGAGGGCCUGUGUACUACAGGUUGCCAGUCACCUGUUAUGCAUUCCUUUGCCUCAGCUUUGAUGGUCUUGCUCAGGGAAAAAGGCUAAUUAAAGAUGUGAAGAACGGUGAGCCCGACGUUCUUCACACAAACAUCCACUCAACAUUUGCCUCUAAAGCUAGUUAGGCGUAAUAUGUCCCUUUUAAAUUAGAUGACUGGUUUUAAAGAAUGAAAAUUACGUUUACAAAAAGUUUAUAUGCCAAGUUAUUUAACUGCCUUCGUUCCUAUAAUUUAAUAAAAUCACAUCUAUUAUAUAAAGUGGAAACAUACUGUAGUGAGAAUAUUUGUUUCUUGCAAAAAUGGGGCCUGUAACUAGCUGAGAUUAGGAUUCUCAUGUUUAGUUUGCUUUUGGGAAGCUUUCCGAUUGUUUUCAUAAUUUAUUUAAUAAACACAUUUGAGACAUCUGGUGAGCAUUGUUU